UCUACGGGAGGCAGCAGUGGGGAAUAUUGCGCAAUGGACGAAAGUCUGACGCAGCGACGCCGCGUGAGGGAUGAAGGUUUUCGGAUCGUAAACCUCUGUCAGGAGGGAAGAAAGCGCAUGGCGCCAAUCAGCCAUGCGUUGACGGUACCUCCAAAGGAAGCGCCGGCUAACUCCGGGCCCGCAGCCGCGGUAGUACGGAGGGAGCGAGCGUUAAUCGGAAUUACUGGGCGUAAAGCGCGCGUAUGCUGUUGUGUCAGUUGCGGGGGAAAUCCAACGGCUCAACCGGGGAACAGCCAGUGAUACUGCGCGACUUGAAGCCGGGAGAGGGUGGCGGAAGUCGAGGUGUAGGAGUGAAAUCCGUAGAGAUCAGGAGGAACAGCAGUGGCGAAGGCGGCCACCUGGACCGGUAUUGACGCUGAGGCGCGAAAGCGUGGGGAGCAAACAGGAUUAGAUACCCCAGUAGUC
rnacentral:rRNA from 1 species